CAAUUAAGAGGCAUUAGUAAAAAUUACAUAACUUUGUCAUAGUUAAAUUAUAGGUGAAAAUCCUUUAUGCUUCU
rnacentral:tRNA from 1 species